rnacentral:rRNA from 1 species
GCCGCGUGCAGUGAAGACGGCCCUAUGGGUUGUAAACUGCUUUUAUACAGGAAGAAACACUCGGACGUGUCCGAGCUUGACGGUACUGUAAGAAUAAGCACCGGCUAACUCCGUGCCAGCAGCCGCGGUAAUACGGAGGGUGCAAGCGUUAUCCGGAAUCAUUGGGUUUAAAGGGUCCGCAGGCGGUCACAUUAAGUCAGAGGUGAAAUCCCGUCGCUCAACGACGGAACUGCCUUUGAUACUGGUUGACUUGAGUUAUAUGGACAGUAGAUAGAAUAAGUAGUGUAGCGGUGAAAUGCAUA